UACCUAAUGCAGACAGAGAUCAUAGAGUCUAAAAUAUACAGAUCAGCCAGACACGGAGACACACACCUUUAAUCCCAGCACUCAGGAGGCUGUGGCUGGUGGAUCUCUGAGUUUAAGGCCAGCCUGGUCUACAUGGUACCUUACAACAUCGAGGAGGGAAGGACUUAUGCCGGCCAUGGUUUGAGGCUGCAGUUAAUCACAGAAGGGAGCCCGUGGUGACAGAAGCAUGAGGCAGCUGUUCACAUCUCACCCAGGAUCAGCAAGCAGAGAAACAGGAAUGGUGAGGCUCCUGCAGGCAAAGAGGAGAGAGGGUGCUUCGUCACCUCUGUCCGUCAGGCCAGUCCAGUACCCCCGGCCAUGAGACGGUGGUGCCUACACUUAGAGGACACUCUCCCCUCAGAAUAUGGGGGAAGCCUGCGAAAAGCCAGUCUACCUGACAGUUCGCCAUGCCGAAAAGCCUGGCUUUCACUGCGAAAAAAGAGUAACACCCCAACUGCAAAUUUACUGGGACACUUCGGAACUCACCAACACACACUCAGCACUAGCGGUAAGCGCCCUCCUCUCUGUCCCCGGGGUUCCUGGCUCCUCCACCCAGUGUGUGUGAGUUGAAGAAAAGCAGCCAUAGUCCUGAAUUCCCUGUGAGCAGCAAGUGCUGAGUCAGGCCUGACAGGGUGAACGUGUUUCUUAGAGGCCUAAGGAGACAGCCUGAAGUUCCCACCAUCAGAGCUAGAAACCUGUGUGGGAAAGGGACGCCGUUUGUCCCUGGCACCAGGAGUCAGCGUCGAAGGCAGAGAGAGAGUUCCUGCCUUCGUGUGGAGGCCCCUCUCUCCAGGGUAAAAACAGCUCCCAGUUGUCCUGACGAGCCUGGGAGGGAAAGAGCAAGCCUCCGUCAGCAUUCCGGCUCUGUCAGAGGAUGUGAUCUGCUCCUGGCAUAGGCAGGAAAUGGGACUUGAAUCUAAUGAGCAAACACCGCCCACCCUGAGAGGCGGCAUUGUGGCACACACUCCCUGCCCAGUGCUGACCCCACCAGCCACAGAUCUUGGCACCAAGGCUAGGGGCGGCACCGGGAGGCCAGCCAGGCACCGGGCACAGUAGAGGCACGCACUCUGUGGGUGCACACCCUCCUGAAAGGGUUGCUUCUUCACAGCCUGCACCCUGGACUGCCAGCCUCCCUCCCCUCCAGCCAGGCUUCUCCAGGGACACAAUUAGAGCCUACAGAGGGGUUACUUAACAAGAUCCGGGGUCCUCCUGCCAGGUUCAUGACAACAGGCUGAAGCCACUAUCGAGCCUCAUUUGCCAAACCAUCGCACAGUCAGCAGUAAAUUGCACAAGAGGGAAAAGGAAAUCGGAGACGGAAGGCGAGGGAGCUUGUUUCCAAACUCUUACUUGGCCGUCAGUAUUGUGGGAUCAGCAGAAACCCCUCGGCUUCUUCCGCUGGGCUUUCCAGCCUGGCUUCGCCGCCAUUUGGGAGCAACCAGCAAAAGGGGCCGCAUCAAGAAGCCAGAGGCCUGCCUCUGCCAAGGUCAGAUGGCACCGAGGCCGAGUGGGCGGGGCAGGUGCAGUGGCCCACACCUGGAGACCUAGCUUCUUGGGUGGCAGGAGGACUAGCAGUUUGAGGACAGCCUGGUAAAUACAGAAAGACCCUUUCCAAGGCGAG